GCAUCCGUAGCUCAGCUGGAUAGAGUACUCGGCUACGAACCGAGCGGCAUAAUCGAGUCACUCUACCGAUUAGGCCA
rnacentral:tRNA from 1 species